GUCUCAUGGCUUCCAUGCUUGCUUGCUGGUUUGUUUUCUGAUUCCAGUUUUUUAAGGACUAUUUGGGGUUCCCUACUGGUGUCGCAUCCUUCAUGUCUUCUAUUUAGGUUACUUGCAUGGAACUCAGCCUGGAUUAAUCACUUCUGGAAAGAAGCGAUCCAGCUCCAUGAACAAAGACUCAAGCCUCUCGUUACCUCGUUGGACCACACAGGUUGGCAGCCUCUUGAAUUCUUCGCUCCUUGGAUCUCCAUUCAAGAACCCUGUCCACCCUCCUCCUUCCACGGCACCUACAUCUGAAACCCCUGGUCCAGCUUAUCAUCCUGGCACACCAUUAUCCACCAUCUGUCUCACGGGUAAACAACCAUUUGGUCUCUCCGCUCUCCACCCUCUGGCAGAUCAUUCCAUCUACCCAGUAAGGCAGAAUUAUUGUUCAUUAGUUUUGACCCUGAGUUUUCCCUGCUUCUCAUCCUGUUUAUUUUUACAGUUUGUAUCCCAGUUCCAGUUUCCCUGUUCACUACACUGCUCUGUAAAUGAACACUUCACUGUAAAACUCCGUUAAAAACAUUAUGACAAUUGUGGUCUAAAACCAGGUGUUUCAGUUUCACCGACCAACCCCUGUAUAUGCCGAAGGCUGAAUAUAAUGUUCUAUGAUAGAAAGCAUCAAACAAAAAAUUAUGAAUAAAUAAGAAAAUGUUACUUAGAUGUCUGUUUGAUUUUAUGAGCAUAAUAAUAGAGCCAAUGCUAACAUUAACUACCUAAAGUAGGUUUUGAUUUGAAACGAAAGGCAGGUCUUAAGUUGAGCUACAUGGAAGUGUGGUGAGUUAUAUAGAUAUUGGUAAUGGUGUGUUAGCUAUUAUUAGUGUAAUGUUUCAACUCCGCAGAAAACAAAUAUAUCAUUGAUUUAUUUCAUUUACAAAUGUUGCAGCAUAAUUCCAAGAAAAGGGAGGCUAUAAAAGCAUAAAUAUAUCCUGUUUUUUGUUUUAAUUUUAUAAAUAAAUUUAGCAAUAGAUGCCAUUUUUUUUUUUUUUGCCUUAAGCGCCUAUCUCCAAAACUGUAUGUGCAUGUUCUGGUCUGGUUUUAGCUUUCUGGAUAUCUUUUGUAUUUUCCUCUUCAGCAUGAUGCUGUCUCUCAACAUCAAGUCAAAGCUUAACAAAGUAAAGGCAGCACCUCUGUGUAUUUUGAUGACUUCUUAACAGUGUUUUGGGCUUUUACAAUUGACCAAUAUAAUUUCACAGUGACGGUUGAUUAACCAAUGGCCAUCACUGAUUGAUGAUGCCAUGUUCAACUGAUUCUCUUUUUCAAAAUAAAUGAGCUAUUAAUGAGUAAAAAGACACAACAUUUUGAGAUGUGCAAGUUUUUACUUAUCUGCCACCUACGACAACUAUUUUGAUAUGAAUAAUUACUAAAAACAUUCCAAAUGUUGUGAAAAGCAGCCCAAAUUUUAACAACCAGCCAAAGCUUUAACAAAGCCUUUUUUUUUCCAGCCCAACUUGUUCAAAAGAAGCCCAAUUGGGAGGAAACCAGUGCAGUCUGGCAAAUUGCACAGUAAUACACAGUUUACCCCAAUCCCAUAAAGAAAACACUAAUCAACAACAACAAUAAACAUGUGCAUAAUGUGUGCCCAUGAUGAUGCCACCUUCACAUUUCUGCUUGCCCACUCAUAUAUGCAUGCCUAGAACCGGCCCUGGUCAGAAGAAUGGAAAAUGUCAACGCCACCACCCAAAUCAAAUACCUUGCCACCAGUCUUUUUCCCAUGGUAAGGUUGUGUUACACUUAUUUGUUGAAUUUAAAUCAAUGAGUUAUGUGUUAUAAAAUUAGAAUCAGCAGGUCAGAGUAUGAAGAAAAUUGGAAAUUGGUGCAUUUCUUAUAGAUAUAUCAACAAACGUCUUCAUCUAGAAAAGGGUUAGGAACCAACAUUUACACAUUUGAUGGUUGUCAGUUAGGGGGACCAAGUUAAAAAUGCCAUUUAAGUUUUAGUCAGAAGCAGGAACAUAAAACAAUGUUUAGUUUUAGAACUAAAUCCCUUGAAAAGACAUUAAAAGUAGAAGUAGUGGUUCAAAGUAAGUGCAUGUUAAAGCGGUUUAACUAUUAAGAUUUUAGUCUCUAAUAUACAUAUAGGGUAGAGGGGGAAGUUCUUCUUUGAUAGUUCUAGGCAUUUCUUGUAUCAAUAAUGUCACAAAGGCAGCAACACCACACGAACACACAAAGGUUUUCUACCAGACCAGCUCCUCCUCCUAAAACUCACCCUGUUUCAAGCAGGAUUCAGAAAUGUUAAAACAUCAGGCUUGUUUAUAAAUGGUGUUGGAAAGGCUGUUUGUAUAUUCAGCUGAACACAGAAAGUAGACAGUUUAUUAUUUUCACUAUUGCAAGCAAAAUCAGAAAAAACAGCAGGGAGAUGAGGAACACUGAGCUCGUCUUUUUACAAUGCUAAUCCAGCAAGUUUUAAUUGACAGGUAACAGUGUUUUAUGCUUUUUGUCCCCAGUUACAUUAACAGGUAAACUAGAUUAAGAGUUUGCUCUGGGUCUCUAUGAGCCCAUCCUCAGCUUCUUGCAAAGCUGUUUUUCUGUCUGACCCAGCAACAACCUGGUGCUGAGCCAGAAGCUGUUUUUGGAUGAGAAAAGGACUUAAAUUAGGCAAGGACUAGCAAGAGUUUUGCACUGGAAGCCGUUUAAUAACGAUCAUUCUCUGUGGUCGAGACAAAGAGAGAACUUUCACUGAAUUUCCACGUGGAAAAGUUUUAUUUUUAAGAUUAGUGAUUUAAAUAAUAUGCUGGCAGUUCUAGGCUUUCACUGGUUCAGCUGAGGAUCUUUGUUAUGCAUGAAGGAUUUAAGUCUAAAUUAAGUGGACUUAAUAAAUAAAAAGACUUUUCUGUGAGAAUGGCCAAUUUACAGCAAUAGAGUAAAAUAAGCCAAAGGUCAUGGAACAACUUUUGAAAAGCAUCACAAAGCAUGGAUAUAUAUUUAAUAAGUCUGCCUGAUUGGAUUGAAAAUGUCACAACAUAAAGGCUGGAUCAAGAAUUUCGCACAAUAUAUAAUAGGUGGUGUUUGAAAAAUCUGUUUUAUUUGAAAUGAAGGAAUUCGAGUCACGCUCGACUGCUCAAAAGUUUUGAUUAUUUUCUGCUGUACAGUUCCUCAACACAAUGAAGCAUAAAUUUAGAGAGUAAGAAAGCAAGGUAAAUAUUUAUUUGUAUAUCACAGUCAGAGAAACCAUUUUUUGGGUAACACAUUGGAAAAGUUGCAUCCAAGCCAUUUAGAAGUCUGGCCUGCCCCCGCAGGUAGUCUAACUUAAGGGACAUUUUAGGAUUUUAGCCAGAUUGAAAACGGGCAGCUCAGGUUAACAGAAUUUUAUGCGCUGAGUAAAAAUAUUGAAGUGUAAGUCCCCAACCUUAACAGGUGCAAAGUAGCUGAGAAGAACAGAAAUGCACCAUGACACUUGUGGAGAAAAGGAGUUCAAGGAGCAUUUUGAGAGACAGAAACAAGUAUAAAGUGACGGCAGGAUCAUCAGCUGCUAAGAACAAAAACGAUUUGUUUUUUACCCUUAAGAAGAAAACAUGAAAUGUGAAAUAAAAUGUGUGAAUUUCUUCAUAUUUUUGAUCCUUUUCCUAUCCAAUGUCACAUUUUGCCUUCUAAUUUUUCUUAAAAAUUUUAACUUUUUUGCUGUGAAUCUUCACAUCUUCAUAUUAAAGACGUCUGUGUGAAUUUA